rnacentral:rRNA from 17 species
GCUCAGACAGCUAGGAGGUUGGCUUAGAAGCAGCCACCCUUUAAAGAAAGCGUAAUAGCUCACUAGUCGAGUCGGCCUGCGCGGAAGAUGUAACGGGGCUCAAACUGGUUACCGAAGCUGCGGCUGUGCACGCAAGUGCACGGGGUAGGGGAGCGUUCUGUAAGCCUGCGAAGGUGUGUCGAGAGGCAUGCUGGAGGUAUCAGAAGUGCGAAUGCUGACAUGAGUAACGACAAUGGGGGUGAAAAACCCCCACGCCGGAAGACCAAGGGUUCCUGCGCAACGCUAAUCGGCGCAGGGUGAGUCGGCCCCUAAGGCGAGACCGAAAGGUGUAGUCGAUGGGAAACGGAUUAAUAUUUCCGUACCUUGGAUAGCUGCGAUGGAGAGACGGAGAAGGCUAGGUGAGCCGGGCGACGGUUGUCCCGGUUUAAGCGAGUAGGGAGUGGACUUAGGCAAAUCCGGGUCCACAAUCUCGAGACGCGACGACGACUGCUCUUAGAGCGGGAAGUCAUUGAUGCCAUGCUUCCAGGAAAAUCUUCUAAGCUUCAGGCUAUUCGAGACCGUACCCCAAACCGACACAGGUGGUCAGGUAGAGAAUA